AAAACAUGUCUUUUUGGAAAUAAUAUAAAGUCUAAUCUGCCCACUGAUAAAAAUUGAAGGGCUGCAGUAUAUUGACUGUACAAAGGUAGCAUAAUCAUUAGUCAUUUAAUUGAUGACUUGUAUGAAAGAUUGGAUGAGAUAUAUACUGUCUCUUAUUUAUUUAUAAAAUUUAAUUUUUUUAUUAAAAAGUUAAAAUGAUUUAAAAAGACGAGAAGACCCUAUAGAGUUUAAUAAAUGAAUAAUUUAAUUUUAUUUUGGAAAAUAAUAUUAAAAAUUAUUUAUUUAUUUUAUUGGGGUGAUAGAAAAAUAAAUAAAACUUUUUUAAAGAAAAACAUUUAUAAGUGAUUAAAUGAUCCAAUAAUAUUGAUUAUAAGAAAAAAUUACCUUAGGGAUAACAGCGUAAUUUUUUUUUUUAGUUCAAAUAAGAAAAAGAGUUUGCGACCUCGAUGUUGGAUUAAGAUAAAAUUUGAAUGUAGAAGUUUAAAAUUUUGAUCUGUUCGAUCAUUAAAAUCUUACAUGAUCU
rnacentral:rRNA from 1 species